rnacentral:lncRNA from 1 species
AUCAAAUUACCUUUGCAAUUCAAGCUCAAUUCUCUAAUUCACCAUAGAUCUUACCUCUAGAUCCUCCCUCCUCCAAGAAAAACGAGAUUUAGCCACUCAUGCUUGGAGAUUUGAUCUCACAAGACAUGUUUGGCUACCGAGAAAAUAAGAGAAACUGAAAGAAAGUGGAGAAUUGUAUAUAGAGGGAAGAAGUAUGAAAAGUUAUCACAAUUAGAAAAUGAAUCCAAAGUCUUUAAAUGAGAAAAUCUCGUUUCUAUUUAUAGGCCAAGGUAAAAAGGACACUUGGCAACCUUUUAGAGGUCUUCCGGAUGCUUCUUCAUCAAGGAAUCUGGAGAGGAUGCACUUUCGCACGAGCCCCUAGUGAUCUCGCAUGAUGGUGCGAAGUGGAGAACCAAUCAGUUGGAAUUUCGUUCUUCUGGAGCGUUUCGCAUGACUGUGCGAAAAUUUCGCAUGGUCAUGCGAAAUCACUUCUUCACAAUUUCCUCAUGUGCUGCAGCCACACCCUCUCUGUUUCAUUUCGCAUGACUGUGCGAAAAUUUCGCAUGGUCAUGCGAAAUCGAAAAUCAUGCUAUUUCGGCUCCUCUUUGCAAAUUCUCUCAUUUGCUCAUGUUUAAUCCAUCUCCACCACCUUCAAUUAAGCUCCAAAGCCCAAUCUAAACUGAUUGCAUUGCUUCUUUCAUUAUGCAUUUGGAUCAUCAUCAACUUUAUUUGUUUUCUUCAAUUUGAUUAAUCUCUUUUGUCACCAAUUUAUCAAAAUUAUACCUUGAAAUGACUCCAAAACUUCAUAAAACUUGUUAGUAACUCUUGCAAGGGAAAAAACAUGUUAAUUGAGUGUUUUAGGCAUAAUUACUACUCAAAAGAUGUGAAAAUCAUGAGAAUUAUUAUCUAAAAUAUGCUCUUUUUGAGUAGUAAUCAGUGAAUUUACAAUAAUGAUAAUCAAAUUUUUUUCUAUAAAUACUCACCGGGCACCAUGGUUGACCUUAUUACAACCGCCGCUUGAUCACCAAAUCCUCUCUUUACAUCUCGAAAAAGUACAAGUUAUGUAUUCAACAUUUAAUUUGUUAAUAUCAUAUUGUUAGUAAACGUUUAAAUAAAUUGAUGAAUGAAAUUAUUGUUUUAUUAAAUUGAGUAAAAUAACAGUUUUUUAUUUACCUCAUUUCCAAAUUGACCAAGCAAUUCAGUAGUUAGGUUUAAUCUCCAACUCCUUAACAAAUGAGGUUAUCUUUCAUCAUGUCCAUAAGCUUGUACACAAACGGCAUUGUGGGAACAACUUCAGAAUCUAUAAGUUGUAGCACCACGUAUAAUGGUUCAUAUAAUGAAACUAUAUUUGUCACUUUGUCCCAAUUCGAAUGGUCAAACAUUAAUUGCUCCAAAUCUCAUCCAACUUUUGUCCAACUAAGAUUGUGUUGUACCCAUGCAUCACUCGUAAACAAUCUUUUCAAAUAUGCCCCUUCUUUAAGAAGACUGACAAGAGCAAUAUAAUUGGUUACAGACCUUGUAGCUCCCGAUCAAACAAUGUCUCUACCAUAAUACUUUCUCAUUUGUGCAAGUAACCAACCAUAGUUGUAAAUGAAGUUGGUUAUGUUGCGAGCAUUGUUUAUCACAUCUGCAACACUAGGUCUUUUGUCAAUGUCUUCAAAGAUUAAGUUGAUGUAGUGUGUUGCAUAUGGAGUCCAAUAUAAAUUAAACUUCUUCAUCAAUAGUUUCUCUACCUUCAUGAACGCCUACUCGUUAUCUGUGACAAUUUGGACCACAUUUUCUUGGUCGACUUCUUUGAUAAUAGUCUUCAAUAACUUAUAUAUAUACUUGUGGUCUUUGAUAUUGUUUGAUGAAUCGACUAACUUAAGGAACACUGUGGUCCCUUUUGAAUAGACCCUGAAAUUAAUAAUACUUAAUUUCAUGGGCCUUAUCCAUCCAUCUGACAUUAUUGUGCAUCCAUAUGUCUUCCAUUUUUCUCUUUAUUAGUUCACAUAAGCUUCCAUUUUUUUGUACUCCAUUUCUAAGUACUUAUUCUUUGUUUCACAUGGAGAUGAAGGUUUGAUUCUCAUUCCUGCAAUUCAUAUAUAAGAAAUAUUUAAAACGUAUCACAAAAAACUAUACUUACUAAAAGUCUAAAACAAUAUAACAAUUAAAAAAUUAGUAAUUACAUGCUUGUUGUGCAUUGAUAAUCAUAUUCUUGAAGUGACGAGAGUUUGCUUUUUGGAGUAUAACACUCUCAUAAAUGAAGAAUUUGCUUAUUAAGCAUCCUAUUGUUUCUUUAAUUGAAUCACCCUUGAAUAUAUCUUUGAUAUUUUUUUUGUUUUGCUGCAAAAGACUUAUAAAGCAAAAGGGCAAUAGGCACUGAUUGGUCUGAAUCACAAUAUAUCAUCGAAAUAUUGGGAUAUUUUCAUCCCUAGGUGUGGGUAGUCCUCCAUAAGUAUAUGUGAUCCCCAGGCUUGAGUUGCCCUAUGUUGAUCUUGUUUGAAAGCACCCCCAUCUCUUUUUCUAUAAUCGGGGAUGGUGAAAUCCCUCUCAAAUCUCAGUCAAGUGAAUGAAUUGAAACCUAUGAGUGUUUAUCUAGGUUGGCAAUUCCGAACAAAAUAAAUGAAUUGAAAAUAACACCCUUUUACAUAAUUUAAAAUAUUUAAAAAAAAAACAUCAUUUAAAAGUUUUCUUUAGAACUAAAUAAUAAGAUUAAAAAAUUAUAUUUACUUAAUAAAUAAAAAUUAAUCUUCAAGAGACCAAAAAAAUUAAUGAAAAUAUAAGGAUAAAAAAAUAUUAUAAUAUUAUUUCCUAUACCAAGUAAAUCAAAAUAUCUCCUUUUGGAUCAAUUGAAAUCCCACGUAAUUCAUUCCUUCCAAAAUCAUUUUUUAUUCCACUUCCAUUAUUGUCAUUAAAUGAAUGACAACAAAAUAGAAAGAAUGAGACGUUGAUUUCUAGACUUGGUUACCGCGUACCAAACAUUGCUCAAUAAAAGAAGAUAGGUCAAAGGUGGUUAGAAAAUGGGAUGGGAAGAUGGAGUUGGGAUGGUUUUCUUUCCAUUAUCUUCACGAACAACAGCGCAAGUCACGUAGAAGUUUCUAGGAAAUCAUGGCGUCAAUAAUUAUAUUCUAAACGUUCUAAUAAUAAGGUUGACUACAAUCUACAGACACCUCUGACACGUACAAAACCUUCUCAAAACAAAAAUACUUUAAUCCAUUCAAAUAGAUUCCUGGAGGGGAUUUAGGAGCUUAGGACAAAAAAGGUUGCCACGCCCCCUCCCUUACUCCAGGAAACAUUGCCCACCUCCUCUCUUCAUGACUGCUACAAAAACUACUGUAAACCUUCAAAGGUUAGGGCAGAAAGUCAAGUAGAAUCCCCCUCUGCUCAAGAAGGAAAACGUCUCACUUCUAAACAAAAAAUAAGUUCAAUUACACAUCCAAAAACAUAGACUACUACAAUUUUGAGUUAUCCUCCGGCUUUUCUUCUUCCCUUUCUGGUGAAGUUGUAUGUUGCAGUAAUGGAGGUCUCUCCUAGGUGUUGUAAGGUGAAAAGGGUUGAACUUGGCAUGCCUCUUCUGUUCCAAACUUGUCCCGUUCCUUAGAUCUUAGCUCAUGUAGGCAUCAUUCAAGUUUUUGCAAUCUAGGCAUGUCCCAUCCAAUUGUAACUCUAGCUCCUGUCAUGAGAUUGGAGGUUCCCUCCUCAACUGCCCACUGCAGCCGAACAAGGAUGGCCGUGAGCUACUGAAUAGCUCCUCAGGCUUCGUCUAGCACAGCGAUUUAUUGACUCUGAAGAGACAGUAAGUCCUAUACAAGAAUGGUGGUUACUUUAAAGCAAACUGAUAAACCAUGGAGGAGAAGAAUAUUUUCUUAAUUGAAUAAAUCAUCAUACUUUUGUAUGCCCAAAUAUAAAAAGAGAUAAGAGGACGCCCUAACAUCUCCACAAUAGACACAGAAUAAUCGAUCUAUAUUGUAAGAAAUUGAGCACUAUUCAAGACCUGUAAAAAACAUAUAUCCCUUUGAAGGAUUUGUAAAGGCACAUGUGAUCAAGGACAGUUUUCCAAUUAAUCUUGACAGCUUUUGACAGGAACAAUCCACAUUACAAUGAGGACCAGAUUUUCCACAUCUAUGAAACAACAGGACAAACAUUAGUCUUCCAUCGCCAUCUCAGUUAUGGAGUCUUCCUUGGUCGUAUUAGUUAUACCCUGCUCAUCUAAGCCAGAAUAGGUGACAAGUCUCUCAACAGACACUUUAAUCACAUCUCGUCGCACUGCAACAUCAGAAACUAACCGACUAACAGAAAACAUAGCCCAACCUAUUACUGCUAGACCAGUAAAGCCUGUAGUUAGAAAUCUAAGCGGCGAAGAAAUGAUAGCGCUGGCAAUAGCAAACAAGGCCACUGCCUGCCCACUCAGGCCCACACUGGUGUUAGUGAACACAAGCAAACCUGUCUUACAGUAGACUGCAAAAUCCUCGCAGUUGUUUUUGAAAAUCUGAUAGACACCAAAUCCAUGCUGGAGGAGGAAGGAGGCACGGUGAAUGACAUCUGCUGGUGGGUCAGAUGCGGCAAGGGUACAGGUUCCUCCUCGAAACUUGGCAAUAAAAAAUGCCAGUGAGACAUCAUAUCGAAAGAGGUAGAGAUCGCCAUCAGCAAGGAAACAGUCAAGACAGGUAGAGAUGACACCACCUCUAAGCCUUAAAUGAUAGCCACAUCUUGGGCAUGGAGUGUCCGAAGAAUGAGAAGGAACUGAUACGAAAAAGGCACGAUCUAACUCAGUUCCAGUACCAAUCUCCUGACCUGAUGCUCGAGUGAAGUGGAUCACCAUUCCUUCACCGGUGUAUAUCCCUGUUCUCAUGUGGCAGAUGCAGUGUGGUCAAGUAUUCAGUUGAAAAUUCUUGAGCCUAUCAAGAUAUUCAAGGGGACCUUGAAAAGAAUAAUAAAGAGAGAGAAUAAGAAAAAGGAUGCCAAUUGGCUAGGCCUAAAUUCAAACUCAUUAUCUCCAAAUAACUAGGGCUCGGAUAUAAUGUCAAGUUAACAAUUUGAUCCAAAAGCUUAUAUUGUAAGGAAUGGCGGGGCAAGUUGAUUUAAGUUAAAAUUCUGACAUGUAAUGAUUGGCAUUCAUUUAACAUUGUGAAAUUGUGACCCUUGUAUACUUUUCCAUCGGUAUUUCUUCCAAGAUCUCAUGAAUGCAUUUGUUCAUAUACACAAAGUUUCUAAUCCACACACUCAUUUAUGUCAAUUAUUAUCUUACCCAUAUGUAAAUCAUGGGCAUGUUACCUUCUCACUAGAAAACAAUUUGUGCCAAUUAACUUGGUAGGACAGAUAAUAGCCUCAUGGCACAGGUUAGGCCUCAUGGUAGUUUAUGCAACAAUGAACAUCCCCAUUGUUCUUGCAAAGCAUGAAAAGGCAAACUAGCUCAUUCAUAGAAUCCAUUAGAGACAUCAAAAGGCAUUCCAGAUAAAAGGGCAUAAAUUGCAAAAAGAAGAAGAAUGCCAAAACACAGUAUUUAAGAUGACUCAGCUGAUGAUAUAAUCAUUCAAAGUGCCCAGAUUAAAAGCAUCAUUUUCACCAAAAAAAAAAAAAUUCUGAAUGAGUCCCUUGAGGAAAACUUGUUCAAAUGGAACACCACAGGGUGACCCAAAAAAAAAUAUUGUUUGUUUCUAGGAAAAAUGUCAAGCUGCAAAGCUUGCUAGAGAAGUAUAGGUAAGGUUGGAUUUAUGAUCCUAUCAAUUGCAUCUUUCUCCAUAUCUCUAACAAAGAGCAAAGAUUAGGUAAAAACAGUGGGUUACCAAGGCAAAAAUCAUGACAAAAAAUUGUCUUAGCUGGAGAAAAACUCUCUGGGACAUUGAUGAAACAAACACAAUCCAAGGUUUCCUUUGAGAUAUCAGAACUGUAAGGCAAGGGAUGAGAUAAAGGAAAAAGGAUAUCAUUUUAGCAGCAUCAAAAAAUGAUUCCUCCUAUCCCUGGCAUUUUUUAAUAUUUUUGUUCCUUAAGCAACCAUCAGGAGAAGCAAAAUACACCUGUAAACUGAUUAAUAAAUUUGAUGAAAUAGCAAAUAAUGAAGAAAAAACAAUUGGAAAGCAAUAGUCAUACUUCUAAUCCUCAAAUCUAUAAACAAAAGAAGAACACCAUUUGAUCCAUCCAUCAGCUGAAAAAAAACAAAUAUAUUGUAAUAAAUUGCAUCAUAGAGGGAUUUUACCACGAAUCAUUUGAUUCUGAUUUGAGUCCCAAAUGAAACAUAAAAGAUUUUAUUUAUGAAUUCUUUUAAACAAACAAUGCAUUGAAUCCAGAAAAUUCUGGCUCCUUUCCAAAAGGAAGAGAAUAAGUAAUGGGCCCACUUCAAUGUCUCAAAUAAACAGGGGAGACUUGAUAGCUAUGGUGUAAUAAUCAAGCAAAUAUAGAAUUACUAAAACCUAAUCCAGAAAAUAUGAACUGGGUUUCUCUGACAAGCCCACAAUAGUUAAGCAGAAGGAAGAUUCAUGAUAUGGAUCUCCCAUAAGAGUGUUUGGCGGUCAGAAUAAACCAGAGAAUCAGUCAAUCCACACUCACCCACAAAUUAAACAUCUAAUCUAUGUAUGUUGCUGAAUAAUAGCAAAAACAGAAAGCAUGAAUCAAGCACCGUUUGGUUGCCGAGAAAGAGAAGGAAAAUGAAAAGAAAAGGAGGUUGUCACACACCAUGAUGCGCAUAGAUGUGAGCAGUCCGCCAUGAGUAUAUGUGAUCCCCAGGCUUGAGUUGCUCUCUGCUGAUCUUGUCUGAAAGCACCCCCAUCUCUCUUUCUGUAAGUGGGGAUGAUGAAAUCUCUCUCAAAUCUCAGUCAAGUGAAUGAAUUGAAACAACUGAAACCCAAAGUUGUGAAUGCACUCCUCCCUUGCCCUUGAGGCUUUCUUACACUCUCCCAGAUAAAAUUUGAAUAUAAAGCACUUUGAGAAGUAUAAAAUGUCCGUUGGAACUAGCAAUGGGAAAAUGCUCAAUGUAUAGGAUGAUGGGCAAGUUGUGAACGCAAUCCUUUUCCAGCUUUUUCCCCUAUAUUUAAGUGUUUUUGACCCACUGAAUCGGACUUGCAAUGGAAGAUUCUUUCUCUUUGGUGUAAAUAUUAAAAGCUCUGUUUUGAGUAGAUUCACAAAGUCCUCAUACCCAUUUAUAAAAAAAAAUAAAUACAUAAUACACUGAAUAUUAAAAUGAAAAAUUAUUGUAAUAUUAAAGGCAUUUUUGAAUAGAACCACGAGCUCCUCACGUCCACUUAGGAAAAAGCACUUCUGAUAGUAAAAGCAUUUUUGAAAAGCCAUUCUCCAACCCUAACUAAAGCUAUUAGUCAAAUCAAACUUGGCUGUCCUCGUAAAUAAAUAAGAUGUCGGUGAACAUGAAGAAAGGAAAAUAAAUAUAUAUUUGAAAGUAAUUUUAAGAAUAUUAGAAAUAUUUUUAAAAAGUUUUUUAGUUAACACUUGACCUGAAGCUUUUUUUUUUUUUUUUUGAAAAUAUUAAAUAAAAGUAUGAUUAAGAAUUAUAUGAUUUAUAUUCAAAUAUUAAAAUGGUGUUUGAUUUUUUUAUUGAAUUGAAAUAAACAAUAAAAGAAAUUAAAGUAUUUAACUUUUUCCAUUUAAUUAAACCAUAUUGAUUUUAACUUAUAUAUUUAAAAUAAAUUUGUUAUUAAUUGGUUCAAUUUAAUUAUCUUGAUAUCAAUAAAUUAUUUUUAAUUAAAUAAAAAAUUAAAUAUUUUAAUUUUUUUAUUCAACAAAAACACAAAUACCAUCAAACUAGUUUUGAUAAAGCUUUACAUAUUUUUAUAAUCAUUCUCAAAUGGGUACUAUUUAUUUUUAAAAAAUAAUUAGAGUUUUAUGAUAAGAUCAUAUACAUGAUAAAUUUUUAGUAUCUUAUGAAAAAUAUAAAAGAAAAAUAUUUUGAAGGAAUUUUUAGUAGUGAUAAUAAGGGAUAACAACGUUGUGGUUUCAAGGAGUGUCACCCGGUCCCAAUUAUUAAACCAUAGUCUCAUCCAUGUUUCAAAAGAAUAAUUAAACAAGAUAAGGUGGAGCACGUGGGUGUAUAAGAAAUGGCUAUCCCACCUCGUUUAGUUUUUUUCUAAUAUUUAAAAUUUAAAUUUUUUUCAAAAAUAUAUCAUAUUUAUAAUUUAUUGUUGUGGCAAAUAAAGAGGAAGAAGAAGAAUGAAGAAAAACUAAUUGAUUGUUUGGUAAUUAUUUUUAAAAAUAUUUUUUUAUUCUUCGAAAAAUAUAUAUAUAUAUAUAUAUAUAUGAUAAUCAAAAACUAUUUUUUAUUUUUUGUACUAAAAAAAAUAGAAAAUAUGACAUUUUCAAAUAACAUCUUUUAAUUAUUUUCUAGAAGUUGUUUAAAAAAAUAAUUAUAUAAGUAUGUAGAAUGAUUAAAAAUAAAACAUUAAAUAUAAAAAUUAUUUUUAAAACAUAUUUAAAAAUAUUAAAAACAUGUUAAAAAUAUUUUAAAUUUCUAAAUAGACUUUUGUUUUUACAAAAUAUCAUAAAAUACUUUUCAAAAACUAUUCUCAAAAACUAUUUUUUAGAACUAUUUUCGAAAAUAAUUACCAAAUAAUGCCUAAGAUAUUUUAAAAGGUUUGUAGGGAAGACAAAAAAACAAAAAAACAAAAAAAAACUCAUAAUUAAUUAAAAAUAACCCUUGAGAAAAUGGGUAAGAAAAUGAAAACAGUGAGAAAUAAAUUGUAAAAGAAAAUUAGUUGGACAAAGAUGACUGUGUUUAUUUUUUUAUUAUAUUCCAUAAAAUUUUCAAAAUAAUGAGAUAUUUGAUCUAAAACUUUCAAGAAAAUAAUUUAAUAGGCACAAGAAUUUACUUAACAUAAAAAAUAAUUUAAAAAAAAAAAAAGCUUUUCUUCUUUGUAAGUUAAACCAAAUAAAGCUUCAGGAUUGAAAUAUUUUUCUUCUAUUUAUUUUUUUAACUAGAUAAAUUCAUGGCUAUUUUCUUGAUUGGCUUUUCAUUCAUCUAGUUUUUCAUCAAAUUACUUAGUAAAAACUUCAUCAAUUUUAUAUGGCAAUUAAAAAUAACAAUUAUAUUUUAAAUUUCAUACAUAUAAGACAUUUUCAUAUCAAUUUUAUAUUUUAAGUUGAGAAUAAAAACCAUAUAAGACAUUUUAUUAAAAUUUGAAUUAACAAAAAUGACUUCUCCUAAACUCAUUCAAAUGAAGCCAAAAUAUUUGUUAUGUCAAGUUUGUUCUCUCCCUCUUAAGAUAGAAGCUUUAUGGAAGUAUAUCUUGUGUCACCUCGUACACCACCUCAUCUUUUCAUUUAUCUCUAACAACAAUUAUUGAAUGAAAUUGUAAAGAAUUCACCAAAAUGAUUUAAUGAUUUAAAUAAAUGGAGUUCCCAAGAGAAUGAACUCUGGGAAGGUAGAUUAUAAAUUAGUAUAAUAAAAUAUGAUAAAGUCGUCAAAAUGAAGGAAUAUGUUAAAAAAAAAAAAAAAAGAUUUCUACUUCUCCCAAAUUAUUUUUGUUUUUUACAAUACAACAAUCAAAUCUCGAUUCUUAGAUUUUUCGAACAAAACAUUAAGGUGAUGUUUGUUUUUUUACUUAAUUCUAAAUAGAACCUUAAUACUUAAUAGUAUUAAAUAUUAAAUUGUUUGUUUUUGUUAUAUUUUAUUUCUAUUAAGUAUUAAAAAGUAAAAAAAAAAAAAACCAUUGUGUUAUUUUUUCUAUUUAGAAAAAAUCACAUAUUUUGGUUUUUUCUCUUUAGUAAAAAGUUUAUAAUAAGUCAUGAAAAAGUAAAAAAACAAACAACCUAAAUUCUAAAACUAAAUGGUUUUCAGCAAAAAACCAAAAAAACAAACACCACCUAAAUCCGCGUUUGAGUUCAUAUUGGAAUAUCGAUUCAACUGAAGAGUAAACCUAUUUAUUUAUGGUUCUAAGACUAGUAGUUCUAAUGGUCAACUCAGUUCUUUCAAAUUGUUUCUCAUUAUUAAGAAAAGAUAACAAAGAUAAAAUACAAACUUGUUUUAUAGUAAUAGUAAUUAAUCGUUGUUGUUUCAAAGUUAAUCUAUUCACUCGUCUAGAUAAUAUUUUUCCUUGUUCACUAAUUAAACUCAUGUUUCUAUAAUCAAUUUGAUCCCUGAUCCAAUGGGGGCAAAAGCCUACGAAAAGAUCGCUUGGAUUUACUGAAGCGGAAUUAAUCGAGUGAAAAUAAAUCCAGCCUCAGGGGCUGUUUUCCAUGUCCUAUUUUCACAUCAUUGUAAUAUUUUCAUAAAAACCGGCCUUUUUCAAUCAUAAAUUUUUUGUAUCUCCUGCCUCAUUUUUUCUGACAUGACAACCACGUGAAGGAGAGGGGUCUCUGCUCUAUCUCAAUGUCUCGUCAAUUAGAACAUGUCUUUUCUUCUGCUUUUUUCUGUUUUUGUUUUAAUUUUUUUUUCUUGUUGGUGUUUUUUUUUUAAAUACUUUUUUCUCAGUGUUUUUGGUUACUUUUCAUCUGUCUAAUUUCAAUCAAAUUGCUUGAUAAAAACUUUGUUCUAAAUUACUUGAUAAUCUAAAGCCAAAUAAAUAAAGAAGUUUCAAGGUUUGCAUGGUAAUCACAUUCAAAAACAGUUUUUUAUUCUUCAAAAUAAAAAAAUAAAGAAAAGGAAAAGAUGAUGGGUAACAAAAAAAAACCAUAAUGUUUUUAUAUAAUAUUUUUUAAUUAUCCUUAAUUAUUUUUAUUUAUUAAAAAUAAAACACUACAUAUAAAAAUUAUUUUUAAAAAUAUAUAUAUAUAAAAAAAAAAACAAGUUAAUAAUAUUCCAAAAAUUCUCAAUUAGACAUUUAUUAUAUAAAAUAUUAAUAAAACUGUUUUUUAAAAAUUAUAUUUUAGAAUUAUUUUAAAAAAUAGUUAUCAACCAUAACUUUAAUUUUUCUAACAAUUUGUUGUUAGAUUUUAAUUUCAAUUUAUCUCUCCAUAGCAUCCCAUAUUAGUUUUAUUUUUUACAUGCCACAUUUUUUUUACCUAUUAUUAAUUUAGUGUAUGAUUGGCUAGCUUUUAUUUAAAAAAAAAUUAUAACUGAAAUUUAAAAAUAAUUUUAAAAGUCAUAUUUAAUAAUGAUAAUGUGUUUUAACCUUUUUUAUUGUAAGAUUGUGAUAGUAGAACUUAAAAAAAUAAAGGUAUAAUUUUUUUUAAAUUCUCAAUUUUUUUAAAUUUGGAAAAUUAACACUCACACCCACUAACAUCUUAUUCUUAUUUACAAAACCAACUUUCUAUAAAUAUCAAAGAAUUGUCUAGACUUGUUAAAAAUCAAUAAAAAAAAUUAUAAAAAAAAAAGGUUUUUUCUCUAACUAUUCUCAUGCACAUAUCAAAUUGUAAGUGUAUUUAUAUAUUGGUAAUUCCGAAUCAAAAUUAUCAUUGUGUUUUUUAGCUCAUACUCUUCAAAUCCUCUUUUGGACUCUUGCCUUUUCCAAAUUUUUCGUAUUUGAAGAUGAGUAGAGGAGAUAGUAAGUGUUCUUGAGAUGUUGGUCAAUGGCAAAUAUGAAUCAAUCAUGUUUUAACCUUUUGUCAUUUUAUUGAAAAAUUGAGUGGUUACUUAAGAAGUGUAAAAUAUAAUGUUCAAAUCAUUUGAAUCGAUUUCUCAUCGAUCGAACUUAAGGGUAAUAGUCUUUACUAUAUACAGUUCUUUUAAUUCUUACCUAAUUGAUCAAACUUCAAUUACACUUGCAUUCCUUCAAUUUUUGCAAAUCAUUAUUAAUUGUUGGAUGGGUUUUAAAACUCUAAUACUUAAGUCCUCUUUCCAUUAGAGGAGACGAUUGGGAGAGUGAGAGAGCCCUAUUUUGAGCUUCAAGUUUUCUUACCAAAUUGGUGAAAGUGUUUGCCUUGAGAGAAAAUCAUUUGGGUUUAAGAUGAAAAUCAACUUUUGAGUGACAAAUUUUUGUUUCAAAUGGGUUGAUUCAUUGUGUUAUUCAUCCUUGCUUUCAUAUUCAACAUAUUUAGGGUAAAACUCAAGUUUCUUUUCAUGUGGAUUCAAUAAGAGACUGAGAUCAAAGCUUGGAAUAGAUUCCAAGUACUCUUCGAAAAAAGAAAGUCAGUAGUUGAAGCUUGAAGGUUCUAGGUUAGUGGUCUUGGAGAGGAUGGAAGGCUUGGGUUAGGUAUAUCCUUGUACUCGACUAAUUUUUCCUUCAUAGUGGAUAAUUUGAUUGCUUGAAGCCUAUGGUUUUUAUCUCUUUGAAAGUUUUCCAUGUUAAAAAAAUUGGUGUCAUUGUCUCUCUAUUAUAUCUUAUCAUUUUAUUAGUAUUUUAUUUGCUUAUGAUAUUUCCAUUGAGUUAUUUUGAUCAAUUAAUUAGUGCAUAUGCUAAAAUUAGAUCAUUAACGAUUUGAAAGAAUAUGAUAUAUUUUAGUUUUUGAGGAUCGAUGUCAAGUGACACGUGAAAAUAUGUUUAUGUGUUGAUGCAAUGUCUUAUAUAUCAUGUUUGGGGAGUGUUGAUUCAUUUGCAUGUGGCUUGCAUUGACUAACCUGUUGGAAGAGUGUUGGUGCAUGCAUUGUUACUUGAGAUUUCUUGUUUGUUAAUGGGAUUGAAAAAAAAAAUCAUGACAUUCGAGACAAAUAAGAGAAUUGUAAGCAUUUGUUAGAUAAAAUACCUAUUAACCCACCCUUUCUUUCUAGGUAUUUCUAUAGGUAAGAUUUAUCUUCACUAACAUUUUAAAUUUUAAAAAAGUUAAACAUACUAAAAAUGAGUAAUAUUUAUAAAAUUAAAAGCAUGAUUAAAAAUUAUCUAAUUUUAUUUCUGAAAAUAAUAAAAAGAAAAGUGUUACAAAAUGCACCUUAAUUUUAUUUCCUUUAUGCCUACACCCAUGCCUACAAAAUGCCUCCUCAUAUUCUAUUAAUUAAAGUUCAUUUAAUUGUUUUAAUAUAUUAAUUAGUUUUUAAGCUGUUAGAAUUGUAACAUUUUUGUAUCCAUCAUUCUAUAAAGACUGGCUUCUCUAAAUAUUUUCUAUUCAUAUUAGUUUUAUUUUCUUCUACAAUAUAAGGAAUAUUGAUCCAAACAUUGUUUAGCACAGUUUCGACCACCUCGGGUAUGGAGAAUUAGAGAAAAUGAGUCUCCUUUACAGUUAAAAGUCAUCAAAUUAGUGUCAAAUCUUACUGUUAACUCUAGUCAUGUUUUUUCUCCUCCUUGUAUAAUAAUUGUUCUUUAGCUUGAUAUUUUUGUUCUCGUUUGAGUUAUUUGUUUAUUUCCUAUACUAAAAUUAUUAUUUUUCUUUUCAAGUAGUAAGAGUAAAUUAGUUUUUUUUUUUCUUUUGAUUGUUAACCUAUUUAAACUCUAUUUGCGUUGUAUGUAUUUUUCAAGUGAUCAUAAUAAGAAACCCAAAACUUUCUUUUUAUGUCUUUGUCAAUGAUUCUUUUCAAUCUCACAUGGUAUUAGAGCAAGGUUAAUUUUAAUUGAACUUUUGAUUUAUGAUCUUAUUGAAAAGAGUUUAAUCUCAUAACAACUUUCAUGCGUAUGAGCUUGAACUUUUGCUUAUGGUUUGGAGUGGAGCCUCAAAAAAAAAUUUUGUCGCGUCUAAUCAUAGAUUGCAAUCACAAGUGGUCACAUUUGUUUUCCUAUUUAAUCAUGACAUUUGAUUUGUAUUUUUUUUCUUUGAUUCAUAUUUGUUUUUUUUUUUAUUUAGUAGUUAUUUGUUUUUUAUGCAUCAUGGUUGGUGAAAAAGAUGAUUUCCUUCAAUCUAUUAGUAUGAAAUUGAAUGGAAAAAAUUAUUCACACUAGAGUUAUGUGCUGAAAAAUUUUCCGAAGGCAAAAGGAUAUAAGGUUACAUUAUUGGCACUCUAUGCAAACCUAGGAAUGAAGAGGAUAAAAAAUAUGUAGAACAAUUAGACAUUGGGAAGGAAACAAUUUGAAAAUUAUCACUAAGAUCAACAACUCUAUUAAGAAUUCGACAGGUACAUAGUUGGUAAAGUAUGGAAUUGAUAAGGAGAUUUGAGAACAUUUUGAAAGAUUAUAUACAUAGUUUAAUUUUGUAAAACAAUAUUAGUUAGAGAUUGAUAUUCAAGCCCUUGAAUAGAAGAGCAUGAGCAUUAAGAAGUUCUAUUCUACAUGACUAAUCUUUAGGACCAAUUAACUCUUGUGGAAUCAGUAAAGCUCCUAGUUUUUUGCCGUAUAUUGAUCGUAUAGAGUAACAAUGGUUGGUUCAAUUUUUUAUGGGCCUUCAUAGUGAUUUUGAGGCAUUGUGUGGGAAUUUUGCAUUGUAGCCCACUUGUCUCUAUUGAUUCAAUGGUCAAUGAAUUGUUGGUUAAGGAGAUACAUCUUAAGUAUCAAAUACGAAAAGGAUUUCUCUCUACCCCUCAUACAUUUGGUUUGGUAGUACCUUCUAGGCCAUCUUCCAACAAUAAAAAAAAUUCUUACUCAAAUAGAUAAAUGUAGCUACUAUAAGUAGAAGGAUUAAUGGAAAGCUCCAAUGUCCUAAGAUCUUAAAUAUAACAGUGCUAAAACUACCUUCUCAAUAGUGCUAAAACUACCUUCUCAAUAGUCUCAAUAGAGUGAGACUAAUACCAGUUAAUAGUGUUCUUAUAGGUCUCCAUUGUCUAAUACUGCAACAAUUGUUCCUACAUCUAACUUGUUUGGAUUUGGACCUAUAAAAACCUCUAUUCCUACAAUAGCUACCUUUAUCAAAUAGUUCCAAAAGUUCCUCGCCAAACAACUACGUGUUCUAUCUACCUCUUUAGGUUUAUCAACCUCUAAUUCUUCAAGUAUGUUUUCCUCCAUAUUGGUCUUAGAAUCUAGACAUUCUCACCAUAUGUCACUUGAUUCUUUAUCUAUUGCUUUCUUAUAUCCUACAUUUUCUAUGUCUAUUAUAAUUGUCGAUGGCACUCUAAGGCCUUUAACUAGUGUUGGUUUUGUUAUUACACCUUAUUUCUUUCUUUCUAAUGUUUAUCAUAUUCCAAAUCUUACAAUGAAUCUUGUCUUUGUUGGUCAAUUGUAUGACUCUGGUUACUUAAUUUCUUUUUCUUCUACUUCUUGUUUUGUGUAGGAUCCCUAAUCCUAGAAGCUAAUUCGGAUAGCUUAUAGGAAAGAGGGAUUAUAUAUUCUAGACAAACUAAAAGUAUCAAUAGUUGUAGCUCCAAGUGUUGACUUUUCCUUUUUAUUUUCAUUUAAGUCCUUCAUCUAACUUUUAUUUUUGGCAUUCUCAUUUGGAACAUAUUUUGGCUUCUUGUUUAAAGUAUUUAGUUUCUACAGAAGCAUUAGGAAAUUUACAAAUACAAUAUAUUUCUUAUUGUAGUGGUUGUAAACUAGGAAAAUUUUGUAUUUUCCUGUUUUUUUGCACCAUUUGAUUUAGUUUAUUCUAAUGUGUGGGGGCCUUUGUCAAUUUUUACAAAAGGAAGGUCUCGACAUUAUGUUUUCUUUGUUAAUGAUUAUACACAUUAUUGUUAGGUUUAUUUUAUGAAACAUCGUUCUAAUUUUUUAAGUAUUUAUAAUACCCUUCAAGACUUUGUCAAAAUCCAACAUUCCGUUAUUAUCAAGUGCUUUUAAGUGUGAUUUGGGUAAAGAGUAUACUUUCAAUGCAUUUCAUGAAUUACUUGCUAGCUUCAUAUGGAACUAUUCACCAUACUUCUUAUAUUGAUGUUCCAAAGUAGAAUGGUGUUAUUGAGAAAAAACAAAGGCACAUUGUUGAAAUUAUUCAUUCUCUUUUAUUGUUUUCUUAUAUUCGUAUUAAAUUUUCAAGGAAGUAGUUCUACUACAAUUCACUUAAUUAAUAAAAUCUCCUCAUCUGAUACAUCUAUUUUGUCAUUGUUUGAAAAGUUGUAUGGUUAUUGUCUUGGUGUAAAGCAUAGUAAGCUAUCUUCCCAUUCUAUUAUUUUUGUUUUUCUAGGGUAUGGCAAAAGUAAGAAAAUGUAUUGUUGUUUUGAUCCAAUUAGCCAUAAAUUAUAUGUAUCUCGUCAUGUUUUCUUUCUUGAGCAUAAUGAUAGGAACCCUAGAUUUUUUCAUUCCCAAGCCCUGGAUUGUAUAAAUAUAUGCAAUCUACCUUAGGCCUUUAGAUCUUGUGCAACAAAAGUGCAAAAUAAAAAUUUUAACAAUUAAGGAUCUAGAUUAAAAGUUUUUUUUAAAAAAAAAAAACAAUACCUUUGAUUUGGAUGUUCCCAAAUCAAAUCCAUUUGAAGAUUGAAGAUCAAAUCUGAAACUAUUGAAAUUCUUGUACACCUAAGAUCUUCCGCCCAGUGGCUCUAACUUGAUCUUGACACUCCAAAGGUGGGUCUUUGGUAAAGGAGGAGGCUAUCACUCUCUUCUCUCUCUUUGGAAAUCGAAGGUAACUUACUCAAAAAAGAGAUGGAAACCUUAUGAAGACCCUUAAACCCCACAAACAUAACCUACAACCCACUUUUUCCACCUUCUCUCUCUUUAACUUUUUUUCUCUUAUUUCCCUCUACUAACCCAUACCCAUUGACAACCACUCUUUUCUCUGAUGACCAUUCUUUUCUCUCUCUCUUUCCUACCUCUCUUGUAGCCACUCUUUCUCUUUUCUUUUUUUCAUUUUUCUUCUUUUCUUUCUCUUUCUUCCUUUUUUUUUCCCCUUUUCUUUUGUUUAUUUUCCUCAUACCCACAUACACAUCUCUCACCUGUCUAUCCCAUGCCACUACUGCUGAUAAUGUCGGUGUCAGAUGCCAAUCACCGAUAGCCACCUCUUUCAACAAGCCACUCCCUUCUUUCUCCAUCUCAUUUUCUCUGUCUUUUAUUCUCUAUCUUUUCCCUUUUUCCCUCUUUCAUUUCUCUCUUCUUUCAUAGCUAUUUUUUUUUCUUCCUAUUCUUCUCUCAUCCCUUAGUCACACCAUGAACUGCUAGUCACACCACCACCAUGACAUAUCCACCAUGGCUACUACUCCACCUUGGUUUCAUUAUUCAAGAACAUGGUAAACCCCACCAUUUGAUCUUUAUGAUUUGUUUGGUAUAAUCGGAUUCUUUUUGUGGGCAUAGUUAUUUUGUUUGGACUUAGGCCUAUUGCAUUUUAGUUAUUUUAUUUUGACUUGGGCCUAUUGUAUAUUUGUUAUUGGUUUUUGUUUAUUUUGGGCUAGCAAUUAUUUAAUUUAAGCCUUUGUAAUUAUUCUCAUUAAGGUUUUUAUUUUGCAUUAGUCUAUCUUUGCAUGGAAUGUUUGAUAUUCUCACUAAAGGCUAUAUAAGGAGCAAAACCUUAAGGUUCAAGGAAAUGAGGUUGGAUAGUUCAUUAGAGGGAGAAGGACGAUUCUAUUUUCUUUUUUCUUUGUCAUUUUUUUUUUUUUUUUUUUUUUGUAUUCUUUGGUGAGAGAAUUUUCUGGUUUUGUACUAUUGGCACUUGGAAGCUUUGGAGAGUUUCAUUUGGGUACACUAUUUUCCUUCCUUUUAUUUGUUGUUUAUUGGUUAUUUAUUUAUUUCUUUUUUAGUAUCUUUUUUUUAGUUAUUUACACUCAAUUUGUAAAUAUUUGUUUAGUAUAUGAAAUUAUUAUUAAUUUGUCUUUUUCAUUUUUUUUAAUAUACGAGUUCAUUAUAUGGGUGAAUAAUGCACAAUGAUCUCCUUCAUACUAUGUUAAUUUUAUUUGUUUCAAUAUUCUACAUAUUUGCAUUAUUAUUUUUGUCUUUUUCUUUUUCUUUAGUAUACUUGCUUAUUGUAUGAAUGAAUUGAAUAAUGUAGAGAGAUCUCUUUCAUAUCAUGUUAAUUCUGUUUUUUUUUUUUUUUUUUUUUUUUAUGUUUUCAAGUUUGUUAUAAAAUAACACCCUAAAAUAUUUCAUUAAAUAAUUUAAACAUUUUUUAUAUAUAAAGUUGUAAAAAAAUUUCUUAAUAAAUUGUAAGACCUUUUCCAAAUGAAAACUACCCAAAUAUUUUCAUUAAAUAAAAAAAUGACCCAAAAAUUUAUUUUAAUAAAAAUAAGUUUAAAAACUUUCUUUUAAAAUAAAACAUGUCCAUGAUUUUUUAAUUAAAUAAAAAAAAAAGGUUUGUGUCACUUAAUCUACUCUAAAAUGGGUGUUAAUUGAUUAAUUAAUUCAAUAGGGUUAUCUAAUUAAUCAAUCAGUCCAAUCCAAAUGUUUUGUUCACUAACCUCUAUGCAACCUCUCAUACUUACCAAAACGCUCUUAUGCACAAAUAUGAACCUAAAGCUAAUCCAAUCCUCAUAAAUUGUCUCAUCAAGUAUGAGCUUGAUUGGGGACCACUAAGACCCAUAGGAGUACUAGCUUCUUCAGAAUCCAAUUUUGAAGUUAAUUUAACAUCAUAUUAGGAUAGAACCCUUAAAAGCAUGACAUAAUGUAAUAAACUCUUGAAUUUUAUUAUUUUUUAAUAAAGUUCUAGUUCACUUUUAUCUAUCUUAUUUCUAUGCAUUAUAUCUUUUAAGCACUUUGUUCUGCAUAUUUUGUAUUGUACAUGACUUUGGUGCAUUAGGAGUUACACGAAAGAUCCAAGUCACAAGUUGUUUGCAAAUAGAUGACUUGUUUACAAUUGGUUCGUGGGUUAAGCAACUCGUUAAAGGUUGUAGCAUACCACUUCCGAAUUAGAGGGAUGGUUGGUCUUGGCUAUUAGGAUGAGUUUCCCAUGGUGAGUGCGCUAGUGUGUAUGGUUACACAUUGGACAAGACUUACGGUGAGUCAUGACUUAAGGUUAUAAAGUAGUCAUGACUUCACCAAGUUUCUUCAUUGUGUUGUCUCUCUCAACCUUGAAAUAAUAUUGAGUUUGUGCUAAAGUUGGUAAUGACUCUAACUUACAGGUGAAAUCAUAAGUUGAUCAUAUAUUCCCUAUAGAUUGGAUCAUUAUUAAUGGGAGUUGGUAGCAACAGUUAUAUUCUUAAUAGAGGCACCAUGAUAUCUCUUGGAUUAAGACAAUGUGUCCCCUUGGGUGAUGUUAAGGAGAUGUGUUCAUGGAAAUUAUGGUCACAAUAGUUCCUUAAGUGGAACUUGACAAGGAGGAUCUUUAACUUAAGGAUAGUAGAGGUAGUCUUGAAGGGUUAAUAGUUUUCCACUGUUAAACUAUAAACACCAGUUCAUGAGAAGAUUGAAUGCAAUGGAUAGCGGGUUACAGACCCGAACACAUGCUCUCUCAUUGUUAUUUACAUAGGAUACUAGAGUUCGAUUGAUUCUUUGCAGUGGGAUGUUGAAUCAACUUCGGAAUUGGAUUAUAAGGGUGCUAGUGCUCCUAUAGGUCCUAAUGGUCCCCACUUUGAGCUCAUAUACCUUAUUGCCAUUAGUUAUGAGAGUUAGAUUAGUUCUAGGUUCACUUUUGUGCAUAAGGGUGUUUUGAUAAUUAUAUAAAGUUUCACAUGGGUAAGUGAACAAUGUCUCUGAAUUAGGUUAAUUAAUUAAUUACUAGGCCCUAUUGGGUUAAUUAAUCAAUUAAGACUCAUUUUAGGCUAGAUUAAGUGACCCAAACCCUUAGUGGGCUCAAGUCACAUAAGCCUAGUAGGGAAUCCUAUAAAUACUCUUUUAGGGUUAGGGUUUCCACAACAUUUUCUAGAAAGUCAUCUUCCACCUCUAGAGAGAGAGAAAGAACCACAACCUUCAUCAUUUCUUCCAUCCCUACCAAAAGUGUGUCAAGAUCAAGGUUCGAGUCAUUAGAAGGAAUACUUCGGGUUUACGAGACCUUACGAUUUCAUCAUUUAUCUUCACUGCGUGGAUUUAAUUCAAGAACAAUCGAAUUUGAGGUAUGGUUUUCAUUAUCACUUUCUGAAUCCCUAUUCAUACUCUUAUUUUAGUUGCCUCUAUUCAUUAGUGGCACAUAUCUAAGAUGGAUGUUAAAAAUGUCUUAUUUAAUGGUGAUCUUUAAGAAGAAAUCUACAUGGUACCCUCUCCAAGUGUUUCUCAUAAUCCUGGAGAAGUGUGCAAGCUCAAUAAAGUUUUAUAUGGUCUCAAACAAGCACCUUGUGCUUGGUUUGCAAAAUUGUCUAAUGUACUCACUUCUCUUAGCUUUGAUCCCAAUCGUCAUGAUCAUGUACUCUUUCUAAAGAGUACCACUACUAAUUGUAUUUUACUUUACCACCGCUAGUCAUAUUUUACUUUCUUCAUAGGAUGACAUGAUGACUAUAGGUGACAAUAUUGAUGAGAUUACAAUGUUGAAAUUAGCUUCGGCUUCCUAUUUUUAAAUAAAGAAUUUGAGCUCUUUAUGAUACUUUUUGGAUGGUAAGGUAGUUUCUUCUCUAAAAGGUUAUCUUCUCUUGUAGUCUAAGUACACAAUUGAUAUUCUCAAUCAUGCCCGCCUUACUAAUACUAAUAAUGUUAAUACUCCUCUUUAGGUUAAUAUUUAGUAUUCUUUUUUUUUUUUUUAUGUUAACCCUUUGUUAGAUCCUACUUUAUAUAUAUUAUACUAUUGUUGACAACUUGGUUUAUCUCACCAUUACAUGUUUGGACAUUGCUUAUGUUGUUCACAUUUAUGAAACCAAGGUUUGGUUAAUUUUAGUUUUGAUAAUAACAAAAUAUGGUUCAGAACUAGUAGUUUAUUCUAAGUAUGUUUAAGUAAGAUGAUUUCCAAAGUGACAAUCAAAAAAACAAAAUAAGGCAAAAGCAAAUUAAGAAAAGGAAGAGGACCUCAAAGAGAAGAUCAAUCAAGACCUUUCUAUAUGAUCUCUUUAUAAGGUUGUUGGUGCACUAAGUUCAAAUUGCAUUACAACUUUUCUUUUAGCACCUAAUCCAAGUGUCUGAAUAAUUUUUUUAAAAAAAUUUAUAAAUUGGAUAAAGAAUUUUUCUAAAUGAAAACCGUCAUUGAUUAAUGUUUUUCAUAGUUAGAAAAGGUUUCCAAAUUGGUAAGGAGUUAUCUAGCCAAAUUUCCCUUAAGAUUUUAUGUUAAAGAUACAAAAAUUGCAAAAACUAUAGAAUUUAUUUAUACAUCUUUGAGUGAUUUUUAUAAAAAUUGAGAUUGAUUGUUUCAAGAAACAAAAUUUCAUGUUUUGACAUGCAUUUCAUCAUUAAAAAGGGUUUUUCAAUAUGAAGUUUUCAUAUUGAAAUAAUCAGUUGUUAAAGGCCAUUUGUGCAUAUUUUCUUUUUUCUUUUUUCUUUUUUUUUUACUUAUGGUUAACCGAAAGGUGGAUCGAUUGAACCAAUAGGUUAAUCUAUUAAACUAAGAGGCCAACCAAUUCUGGAAAGUUUUCAAAUUGGUAAAAGAUUGUCUUAACCGGUUAAGGUGUAACCUUGACUGGUCGAGGUACUGGUUGAGUCGAUUGCUUGACUUAUCAAGCUCUUGUGACCUAAAGGUCACUUUUUGUACCUUUUUCCACCUAAAGGCUAGUAGUCCAUUUGACCAGUUGGUCAACUAGAUGACCUCAAACUGUACCUAAAGACUAAUUUAGGUUUCAAACUCUUAUAAAAGUUUCCAAACUUUAUUAUUUAGUAAGCUUAAAAUUUCAAAAUCUUUCUUAAAUAUUUUUUAGCUUUGGGAGAGUGUUUUUUUAGUGCACUUUGCUUUAAAAUCAUAUAUCCAUUUAUGCACCUCGGUCUUAGUUUAUCUUAUAUUUAUUUAAGUUUAAACUUGUACUAGGAUUUUAUGAGUUUAAUUCUCAAUCAUUUCUUGUAACCUUUAUGAGGUGAGAUCAAGUAUAAGGUAUCACUUGAGGGAAAAAUUUAAGGUAUCACUUAGUGUUUGCCAAUUGUUGAUUAUCACUUGGAGAGUUCAAGAGUGAGUCAUCUCUUGAAGAAAUUGUGAGUGCCAAUUGAAGCUAAUCAACCUAAUUGUAAUGCUUGGAGGCUUCUAUUAGAAGCCUUGGAUUAGUGGAACCUUCACUUGGUUAGGAGCUUGAGGAAAGUAUAUGUAAACUGAGUUGCAUCAAACCACUAUAAAAAUCUUGAAUUUGCAUUUUUUUUUUUCCCUACUCUCUUUAUUUUAUAUGAAAUUGCUUUUUAUUGUAUUUAUUACACAAUUGCACAUCUUUGUUACUUGCAUUCUUAUAGUUUAAAUUUUCAAAAGGUGGUCAUCACCCCCAUUCACCCCUCUUUGGUGAUUACCUUGGGUUGAUAUAGCUAAAAUCCUAACAACAUUGCUAUUCAAUUUGUUAGUUAUUCUACUACAAUUCAUUAGACUAUUGCUCUUUGUAUUAUGCAAUAUCUCUAAGGCACUCCAUUUUAAAGUUUUUUACUUUUUUCCACUUCCUUUCUAGAUUUGUGUGCAUAUUUUGAUGUUGAUUGGGUCAGUGAUUCUAAAUAUUACAAGUCUAUCAUUGAAUUUUGUAUAUUUUUAGAGGAUUUUCUUAUUUCUUGGAAUAACAAAAAAUAGACUUUCAUUUCUCAAUCUUCUAUAGUAAGUAUUGUGUUAUGAUAUCUACCACUAGUGAAAUAGUUUGGUUACAUUGGUUACUUGUUGAUAUGAGUGUUUCUCUUUUUCAUGUCACUCUUAUGUAUUGUGACAACAAGACUAUUAUUCAAAUUGCUCACAAUUUUGUUUAUCAUGGAAGGACCAAACUACUAAGAUUGAUUAUCACCUCACUCGUCAUCACUUCAACAUAACAUUCUUACUUUGUCUUUUAUUCCUUCUUCCUUACGAAUUCCAAAUCUGUAUAUCAAGUCAUAAUCAUUUCUACAUUUUCAAUUUUCGAUGGGCAAACUCUCAAUGCUUCUUGCAGCCGCAUCAUGAACUUGUUGGGGAAGGUUGGAAUUAUUUAUUUGUCAUGGUUAUUUAUUGUCUAUAUUAGAAUUAUUAUCUUUCCUUUUGGGAGUAAGGGUAAAAUAGUCAUUUUUCUUUUUAAAUUUCUUUUAAUUGUAAGUCCAUUUAAACUAUAUUUAUGUUAUAUCUAUUUUUCAAUUGAUAAUAAUAAGAAAUCCUACUUUUCUUUUCUACCUUUGUCUAUUGUUCUUUUGAAUCUCACAGUUUUUGCAUCUUCCUUAAAUUUCAUUGUGUGGCAUUAAUUUGGUCAUCCCCUCGGUUAAGGCUCUUAGUGAGGUCUUAAAAGUGUGGAAUUCUUUACUACUUGUACAUACAUAUUCACUUUGAUAUUCGUGAGACAAUAUUUUAUAUAUAUAUCACUACCCUAAGUAUUUUUUUUAUUUUGCUAUUUUCAAUUUUAUAAGAGCAUAAAUUACAUUGUAAUCAAUGUAAGUCCAAAGGGUUUUAAAAAAGUUAAAAGUAAUAUUUAAAAAUCCAACACAACUUUGAAGUAUAUUUUGAUAAAACUCUUAUAUGAUCCAUAUUUUUAUUUGCAUUUUAACCGAAUAGAAAAAUUCAAAUUUUACCCAAAAACAUAAUAAGUUAAAUAUAUUUUUGAAUUAUUUGAUUAAAAGGGACAAUAUCAUUUUCAAUUUGUAAAAUUAAGUGGGUGUUUGGUAAACCAAUUUGAUAACUUAAUUUUAAGUUAUUAAGUAAAUUAAGUACAUUUGGUAAAAUAACUUUAUAGUAUAACUUAUAAAGUAAAAAACAAUUUUAAAUAAUAAAUAAAAAUAAUUAAUUUAUUCUUAAGUCACAUCUUCAUUUUACAUUUCUAUCACGUUUGCCCUCAUUACCACUACGAUUUUUUUUUACUAUUCCAGGAUCUCCAUUAUUACUCGAUCUCCUUUAUUCUAAUUAUAAUUUAUGAAGAUAAAUACGUUAAUUUAAUAAUUUAAAAUAAAUCUUAAGUUAAUUUUAUCAAACAACCUUAAUACUUAAAAUAAGAAUUAAAUAAGAAGUUUUAAAUUAACAACUUAAGCAUAAUUUAACUUAAAGUCAAUUUAACUCAUUAAAUAAUAAGUAUUAAGUUUUACCAAAUACCUCAUAAUUCUCCAUUUUUUUAACUUAAAAAAAUUGAUAUUAGACAAAAACAUCCUCACUUUCUUUUUUUAAAACAUAUAAAUAAUAAAAAAAAUGAAGGGUAUUUAUAUUAAAAAUGAAUUAUUCUUCAAAUUCAAAAAAUGAGAAAGAUUAAUUUUUCAAAUUUAUAGUCUUUUCAUUUAUUUUGAUCAAUUAAUCCAAUAAAUCUUUAUUUGAUUAAUUUUUUAAAAAAAUAAUGUUUUUUAAAAUAUAUUUUCCAAGCAUAAAUUUAAUUUUACAACAGAGAUUAUUUUUAUUUUAAUAUUUUCUAUAUUAAAUAAACCGGUCAAAAGAUAUAUAUAUAUAUUAGUUCCGAAGUCUAAUCAUAGAGAUAAAUUAGUUGUGAAGUCUAAUCAUAAUUGAGUUACGACAAGGCAGCAAAAUUAUAGAGACAAAUUGCCGGCAUUGAAAUGUAAUGUGUAAGCUGUUUUUCGGUGUAGAAGACAUGUGGUGAAGCUGCAUUUAGAUGGUGAUGUGUUAUUGGACAUCCCAUUUUAUAAAUAUAUCUUACUCUAAUUUUUAAAUUAAUUUUUUUCAAACUAUACUAUAUAAUAUUCUUAAGUUGUCACGGAACAUGGAAACUUAUAUACUCUUUAACAUAUGAAAGUUUGAAACAAUAAUUAAAUUAUGAUACCAUGUGAAAUGUUGUAUAUUAUUAUCUUACAUUCAAAAAAAAAUGCCGCCCCUAAAUUCAACAAAAUUUAGGAUGGACAAGUGAUAGAUCAUACACAUAUUUGACACAUAUCAUAUUUUAAAAAAGUGACGGGUAACAAAAUUUGGAAAGUUACAAAAUUUAAUCUUACAAAUAAAAUUAAAUUCUCCAAUUGUUAUCAAAAGAGAAUUAAAAAAUAAAUAAAUAUUCUCUCAGCAACAAAUUUAGAAAUAAAUAUUCUCAUUGAAAUCAAAAGAGAAUAAAAAAAUAAUGAUUAAAUUUUGGGAAAUUCAAAAAUUCAAUCAAGAAAAUAUUUGCAUUGUCAUUUUCCAAAUUGUGAUCAUCAUAAAACAAUCAAAAGGAUAUAUUCUUUUGCAAAAAAAAAAUAUUAUCAUAAAUAUGAUGUUCCACAAUUUAUCAAUUUUAAUAAAAUUCAUAUCACAUUAUUUUUCAUAUUGUUUUACUUACAUUGUAGGACUUUCGUAAAAUUUGUGCGUAUAAUUUGAUUUUAUUAUUUUAUAUUCAACUUAUGUCCUAUUACUUUACAUUUAAAUUUUAUUUUAUAUAUUUAUUUAUAUAAUGAUCCAACAACCUAGAUUUCAUUAUAUACUUUUAACGAUUGAGAUCAUAAGUUCGGUAAUGAUCGAACAGUACCUAAAAUUUUGCAUAUUUAUAUUAUAUAAUAUGAUAUGAUUUGCUAUAUAUUACCAUGAUAUCCUUAUGGCAUUGAAUAAACAAGGGAACUUGAAACCAGUAUACAUAGGAAGUUAGGACAAAAGACAUUAUCAAUAUGACAAUAUCUAAUCAACCAUUUUCUUUCUGACCCACAAGGAUGCCAUUGUGAAGUCAAAUUAAUUUGAAAUGAUAUGUGGAAAGGCAUUGAAAUGGCCAUUUGGGGAUGGGUGAUCUGUGAGGAAAACAACUUUGUCACAUCAAUGGAUAACCCUCUAGAAUGAAAUGGAAGAUGAUGAAUUUUUCAAAGCAAUUUGGCACCUAACAUCUUGAUCAUGUCUCUGCAUCUUUAUUAUUCAAUGACUUCGGCCGACCUACUUGACCUUGGUCUUGUUUAAAACAUGAUGUAAAUGAAAAAGGGAGGAAAAAGGAUAUUAUAUUUUGUCUACCUGCCUUUGGUCUCAUUAAAUGCUUUUAGUGUAUGACUUCCAAGUUUAGUUUAUGUUUAUUAUUGCUUUCUUGACUAUUUGGAAAUAGAACAAUAUAUACUACCAUUACCUAAUGCAAUCAUACCUAAUUCUCAUUUGUAUGAUGGGUUAAGAAUAAUCAAUAUAUUGUUAAUUAUGCAUUUAUACUAGAAAUUAACUGCUUCGUCCCCUUGACUUACUUGUGGCUUUUUGAUUCAAUCCUUUCCUGAUACAUUAUUUAAGUUUAAACUAUCAUUUUAAUUUUAAUUAAAUAAUAAAAUUUGAAUUUCCACCCUAUUUCAUAAUUGAAUGUCCAAAUUACAUGCUUUCAUGAAACAAUCGGAUAGGGAUGCUAUUUUCCAUACCUGGCUAGUAGUUUUUCUAAUGGCGUCUUAAAAUUUAUGGGUAGAAUUAUACUGAUCUUUGGAGGUUGAGACGGUGGAUUGAACUGGCAUCCACGCUAUGCGGUUUUGUACAUCUAACAUGUGAUAUCCCAUAUAAAAAUGAGUUUUUCUUAAUUUUGUAGAUGCAUUUUAAAAUUGUAAGAGUCCCUUUAAGUUUAAAGUGAACAAUGAAUGUGAAGCAUUUGUUUGUUUGACCUUAUGAGGAGUGUCUAUCUACAUGGCACCAUAAUCUUAUAGGACACAACGAGAAUAUUAUGUCUCUAUAAGGGUGAUUGUGAUAUCUCACAUUAGAUAUGGGAAAAAGUUUUUGAUAUUGUAUAAAUAUAGACUGCUCUUAACCUUAUAUACUCGUUUUAAAGUUGCAAAGACCCCUUUAGGUCAAAAGCUGACAAUAUCUACAUAAUUGAAUGUAAAUCGUUGUAUAAUUCUGUUAUACCAUCUCUAUCUUCACAAAACCAAUUCUCCAUAUUGAAAGGAAUAUUUCCCCUACGUAGCUAAUUAGUGUCUCUAAGAACCAUUCCUUUGUAGAAAUAUUUUUAAUAUAAUGGGAUACAUUAUAGAAAAUUGAUUUUCUACAAAAACAUCUAUCAAGUGCCAAUGUAAACGUUAUUUCAAGUUAUUUUCUAGAUUUUUAAAUCUUUAUUAAACAUUAGAAAAAUCUUCUAAUCGCCUCAUAAUGAACCUAUUAGUGAAUUCUAACCUUGGCUCUCAUCCAUGAAUAACUAAAUUAAAAAUAAAUAACAUGUCAAACGAGCCUUUAAAGAUGAAAAGUUGACCAAAAGAAAAAGGAGCAUUAAUUAAAAUAGUUGCAGUUUUAAUCAUAAACACAAUUGUUGUUGAAACAUGGAUGAAUUUCAAGUUGUUGCUUUUGGAUUUUGGGAGGCAUUCCAUCACAAAAUCAAUGUUAUGUAGUUUUGUACAUUCAGCAUGUAACAUCCCACAUCAGAUAAGGAAAAAAAUUAUUGAUGCUUUAUAAAUAUGGACCCUCUUAAUUUUGUAAAUGUCUUGUAAAGUUGUAACAAUCCCUUUAGGUUCAAAGUAAAUAAUAUUUAUAUGGUUAGGUGUGAGCCAUUACAAAUGAUAUCAAAGUUGAUCUCUAACCGAAGUGUCUGUUUGUAUAACCUCUCAAUCCCAUGAGAUAUAACUAGGACAUUGUACUUGCAUGAAAGGGGGUAAUUAUGAUAUCUUACAUCUAACUAUAUAAGUAUGGACUCCUCAAUAUUACACAUUUUGUUAGACCAUCUCAUGUCUUCACAAAACCAAUUCUCCACAUUGAAAAGAAUAUUUCCCCGCACCUAAUUAGUGUCUCUAAGAGUCAUUCCUUUGUGAAAAUAUUUUUAUUAUAAUAGGAUACAUGAUAGAAAAAUGAUUUUCUACAAAAACAUCUAUCAAGUGCCAAUAUAAACAUUAUUUUAAGUUAUUUUCUAGAUUUUUAAAUCUUUGUUAAACAUUAGAAAAAUCUUCUAAUCACCCCAUAAUGGACCUAUUAGUGAAUUCUAACCUUGGCUCUCUUCCUUGAACAACUAAAUUAGAAAUAAAUAACAUGUCAAACAAGUCUUUAUAAUAAUUACAAUUUCAAGCAUAAACACAAUUGUUGGUGAAACAUCGAUGAAUUACAGGUUGAUGUUUUAAUACAAAUAUGGAUGUUUAUCUAUAAUAAUGAAAAACAAAAUAAGAAAUGAGUUGCUUACAAACUAAACAAUAAUAUUAUGAUAAAUGAAAAGAGACGAAAAAAUGAAGUACAGUGAAUUCCAAGUCCGAUUGAGGAGGAAGUUGCUUCACCAAGGUUGGGGGGAGUUAGUCUAUCGAGAGACAUAACUUAGGGAUGAGUACGUAUUCACUCACCUAGUCUUAAAUGGAAUGAGUAGUGAAAAUUUUUGAAUGAUUAAGUUGGGCAUUAAAUUAUUACUUCUUAAGUUGCUUUAAUAGAAUAAGAGAGUGGAUAUUAUAUCAUAUUCCAUAUUUGGUUGGUGAUUUAUCUCAUGACUUGUGUUAUCCUAUGUUCAAUCAAACAUGGGAUAUGAUAAGUGGUGAGAUAUAUUAUCCACCUAUUUUUUUAUCCCUUCUACAUGGCAUAGGUUAAUUUCAUGUUAAAAUAUAUAAGAUAUACAUAUCUCAUGUAUCAUAAAUUUAUUUUUAUCAAUUUUUUUUUAUAUACUCAUUUUGAAAAAUAAAACUUUUUAUUAUAAAUUAAAUUUAUGGUUAAAAAUUAAAAAUUAAAAACAUAUUUAUAAAAUAAUAUUAAUAUAUGAAAUAUAAAUUAUUUUUAUAUAUUAAAUAAUAUAAUAUAAAAAAAUUUAUUUGUAAAUUUUAAAUAUUUUAAUUAUGAAUAUUAUUAAGCAUAAGAGAAAUUUUAUUUUUUAAAAAUAAAAAAAUAUUAGAAUGUGAUAUAAUUUUUAUUUUAAACAUUGAAAAUAAUGUAAAUUUCAUAUUAUUUUUUAUUCAUUUCACAAAUUAAAUAUAAACAUAAUAUAAUAUAACAUAUUUAAUUAAAUAUACUACCUUAAAAUAUCAUAUUCAUAGAAUAAGUAAAUCCAAGGAUAUCAUAUGUCAUUGGAAAUCAUAUCUUAGGAUAUGUAUUUCUUUUCUAAUAGGAUAUGAUAUUUUAGUAUAUACAUAUCUUAUCAUAUCAUAUCCCGCCAAACAAACAGUCUUAUAGUAUUAGGUGAGAUCUUGCAUGCUCUAAGUUUCUUGUCUCUUGUUUAGCUUAGAUUACUUGAAAGCUAAACCUUUAAGAACAUACAAAUUUUAAGAGUCAACCAGUUUUUUUCAUCUAUAGUAAAUUAACAUUGAGUAGAAGAGAUAUCACAUUCUUUAACAUGUUCUUCAAUCAUAAAUAAUAAUUAGGAAAUUAUAUUAUAUGAUAUGAUGUUAUAUGUCCUUAUCAUACAAGAUAUAUGUUAAAUAAUAGGGUAUUAUAUGAUAAAUAUAAUAUUUGCAAUUAUACCGGGUAUUAUUAUAAUUAUUUUUAUCAUGAGUAAGAGAAAUGUUUGUUAAAUAAUGAUGGAUAAAAACGUAUACCAUAUAUUUUUUAAAUUUUUUUUAUAAAUGAACAUGAUUUGAUUUUUUGUAUUAUCAUUAUGUAUUAUAUAACAUGUAUGUGAAAUAAUAAUAAUAAUAAUAAUAUUGUAUAUUACAUAUCAUAUACAAUGUUACUCAUUGUAUAUUAUAUACGGGGUUCAAGAAAAAAAGUGUGUUUUCAAACACUCGUAAAAAUAAUUAUAAAAUAGAAAUCUUCUAAAAAUAAUUUAAGUUUUAUGCACUCAGCGGUCAAAUAUAGUACCUAAGAUAAAAUAUAGUACUUAUGUCAUAAAAAAGUAAUACUUGAAUGAUCAAAGAUAGUACCUUUGAUAAAAAAAAAUAUAUGAAAUAUUAAUUAUUUUUUUAACAGCUUAAAAUUUGUAUUUUACAAAUUCGAAUUUCUAUUUUAUGAUUUUUUUUUUCAUACGGGUGUAUGAAAAUCCUAUUUUAUAUUUUCCUAUACUAUAUAUGCUAUUAAUAUGUCUUAUACAAUAUCACAAUAUAUCAAAUAAAUGUGAUAUAUAAGAGAUAUUAAAUAAAUAUUAUUAUAUAUCACAUGAUUUUAUGUUAUAAUAUGAAUUAUAAUAUUUGUAAUUAUGUGUAUGGUAUAUGUUGUUUAAUUAAGUAUAGCAUAAAUCACAAUUUUUAACAUUCAUUCUUGCCUGCUCUUUUCUUGAACAUGAUGGGCUUGAUGGGCUCACUCCCACUUCCACUACUUGGGCCUGCCCAAAUGAACCCCUUUUUCCUUUGUAGACCAGACCAACUCUGACCCAAUGUAAAAAGACAUAUUUCCCACUACUGCUCUUCAUUAAGCAUCUUAGAAACAUGUAUGUUUCCAACAUGCAUUUUUUAGUAUAAAUAAAAAAAUAAUCAACUUAUACUAAAUUGUAAUGAAAUUCUGGGUAAAGAAUUUUUCACUUUAUCCUUGUUAUUGAAUAGGAAUUUUUAGAAGCUUUACUUUUUCUUUUCAAAAAUUUAAGAUUAAUCUUAUUUUUUAGAAGAAAAAAAGGGGAUUUAGGGAAAUUGGGACAGUUGUGAAGAUUAUGUAAUUGAAAUUAUGUUAGUACUUCAAGAUAAUAUUAAGGUUACGUUUGGUUAAACUUAAUAUUUAUUAUUUAAUAACUUAAAUUAAUUUUAAGUUGUUGACUUAAAAUUUAUUACCUAAUUUUUAUUUUAAGUAUUAAAAUUGUUUGAUAAAAUUAGCUUAAAAUUUAUUUUAAAUUAUUUAAAUAUUUGUCUUAUAAAUUGUGAUUAGGACGAAGGAGGUUGAGUAAGGAGCACAAGUUAAAGCAAUAGUAAUAAAGUGUAGCAAAUGGUUCCAUCUUGUUUUUGGCCCCACUAAAUGGCAUGUAGUUGCAACCGUAAAUUAUUCACUUUUUUCUAUUUUUCUUUUUUAAUUUUCCCAAAUGUAAAAAAAAAAAAAAAAAAAUCGAGAGAAAAAAUUUAAAAAGAAAAAAGAAAAAAGUGAAUAAUAAUAAAAAUAAAUUUAAAAUCAAUAAAUUAUUUUUAUAUAUUAUUUCAUACUUAUUUAGCUUAUUUUAACUUUGGAUAUAAAAAUUAAAUAAUUCGAAAAAUAUAUAAGUUUCUAAUUAAUUUUAAUUAUAUUUUAUUUUCCUUCAUAUUUUUCACGAUACCAUCAAAUAUGCGAAAAAUAUUUUCCUUAAUAUUUUUUUUCUUUCCUUAUUAUUUUCCAAGUAUCAAAUAUAAGGUAAAGGAAAAUUGACAUUCUAAGAUUUUAUUUGGUUAGAAAAUAAUUUCUAAUUUCUAUUUUUAUUUUUAAAACUUAUUCUAUUUUUCAUUUUUAUAUUUAGAGAAUUAAAAAAAAAUUAAUAAUUUUUUUAAAUGUUAUUGGUAUUGAUUUUUAUUACAUAAAAAACGGUAAUAACAUUAUAUUUAUUCAUUUUCUUUAUUUUUAUUUUAAAAUAAAUGAAAUAAAACUUUUAGUAUAUUUGUAAUUAAUGAACAAAAUAUUAGGGAUGCUGGUUAAAACUUAUUAUUUAUUACUUAACCACUUAAGUUGAUUUUAAGUUAAAUUAUAUUUAAGUUAUAGACUUAAAACUUAUCAUUUAAUUCUUACUUAAAAUAUUAAAGUUGUUUGAUAAAAUUAAAUCAAAGCUUAUUCUAAAUUAUCAAAUUGACAUAUUUAUCUUUAUAAAUUAUGAUUAGAGCAAAAAAAAGUCAAGUAAUUAUGGAGGUCAUGAAAUAGUAAAGGAGAUUAUAGAGGUUAUUAGGAUAAAUAAAAUAAAAAUAUAAAAUAAAGAUGUGGACUUAAAAAUAAAUUAAUUGUUUUUACUUAUUACUUAAAAUUAUUGUCUUAUCAUAAAUCAAACCAUUAAGUUAUUUUACCAAAUAUACUUAAUGACUUAAAUUAAGUUAUUAUGUCACCUUAAGUUAUUAAGUUGUUUAUCAAAUACCCGCUGGUCUCUAAUAUUAAAUAUAUAUUGAUAUAAUUUAAAGUAAUAACAAUAUUUAUAAAAUAAUAUUUGAAUCCAAAACUUGGAUCAUUCAAAAAAAUAUUUUCCAAUUUUCUUAACCAAGUUCUAGAUUGCUUUUAACAAACUUCGAGUUUUUCUCGCUUCUUACCUUUUCUUGAUUCAUGAUAAUAGAAAGGACAAAAAAGAUGUCCUAACAUAUUUCCAAACUUAAUUUUAAUUUCUUUAAAAAAUAAAAAAUCUAGUCUGAAGUCUUUGAAUAUACAGAGAAUAUUUAGGCUUUGAAAGUGUUCACACGUUCAUUUUUUAUUUUAUUUUUUAUUAAAAAAAUUAGGAAAUACCUUUUCUAUCAUGUUAAACAUAAGGAAGGAAACAACAUUACUUAAAAUAUUCUAUAAAAUCUAUAAUAUAAAAAUAAUUAUAAUAUAAUGCAAAUAUAAAUAUUUUUUUAUAAGUAAAUUUUGUCUUUUUUUGAGACUUGUCAAAGUUCAUAGGCGUAUUUUACGAAGCAAAUGAACGUACUCGUGAGGGAAAACGAAAAUGAAAAAUUUUAAAAUAAUUAAUAAAUAAAAUAUUUCAAAAUCAAUAGUAAGAUGAAUGAAUUGUCGAAAUAUAAGAGUUGAUUUGAAUGUCCGCACUUAGAAGUGACAUAAUAAAAAUUCCUUAUACCAAUAGAAAUUCAACAUUAAAUAAUAUUUUAUGGAUUAAUAAAAUAUAAAAGCGAUAUUAUUAUUAUUAUUAUUGAAGAAUUGACUUUGUUGGAUGGAGAAAAAAGUGUGUUCAAAGUAGAAUGGAAAUGUAGGUUUAGAAAAUUUGUAAGUUGGAGUGAGGUAGAGUUUUUAAGUAAUUGGUGUAAAUGGAAUAUUUUUUCACUAAAAUUAGUUGUUAAUUUGAUUUGAAAAAAAAAAAAGAAAAAGGAAAGGCCUCUCUCUAUAUAAAACAAGUAGUCCGUAGGUAUAUAGGAAACAGAGCUCACGUGGUCACAGGCUUCCAAACCCAAAAUAAGAAAAGAAUCUCUCCCUAAUAUCAUUAUCUCUCCUCUCUUCUCUCUUCUCUCUUCGGCCGCAGGUCUCCGAUGGCGCCGUUGACUCAGUCUGUCCUCAGCCUCCUCUCCGCCGCUUUCCUCCUUGGCUUCCUCUCUGAUCCGGCCGCUGCUCGUCCCUGCAAAACCCUUUUCAUCUCCUCCUACUCCGUAUCCUUCCACCCCAAUUUCCCCGAUCAAAAUAACCCUAACUCCGCAGGCACCGCCGGAAUUCUCACGAUUUUCACUGAGAUCCGGCAAUUUAACCCCCGUCCGCCGCUCACCUUCGUCGACGCCGUCGAGGAUCAGCACCCGAUCGAGCGUCCGCCGCGAUUUGGCCUCGGUCUAGGGUUCGACUCCGACUCCCUCCGCGACCGCACCAAGGACGUGCUCAGCGUUGUUGUGGCGCUGCUCUUCGGCGUCGGCUGUGGCGCUCUCACCGCCGCAACCAUGUACUUGGGUUGGUCGCUCUUCUCCAACCGCCACCGCUACUCCGACUUCGAUUACGAUGACUUUGAGGAUGAUGACGUUGACAUGAGCCCUAAGAAGGUGGGCUAUGUGAGGAU